rnacentral:rRNA from 1 species
AAAUUGAAGAGUUUGAUCAUGGCUCAGAUUGAACGCUGGCGGCAGGCCUAACACAUGCAAGUCGAACGGUAACAGGAAGCAGCUUGCUGCUUCGCUGACGAGUGGCGGACGGGUGAGUAAAGUCUGGGAAACUGCCUGAUGGAGGGGGAUAACUACUGGAAACGGUAGCUAAUACCGCAUAACGUCGCAAGACCAAAGAGGGGGACCUUCGGGCCUCUUG